UAGAGUUUGAUCCUGGCUCAGGAUGAACGCUAGCUACAGGCUUAACACAUGCAAGUCGAGGGGCAGCAUGGUCUUAGCUUGCUAAGGCCGAUGGCGACCGGCGCACGGGUGAGUAACACGUAUCCAACCUGCCGUCUACUCUUGGACAGCCUUCUGAAAGGAAGAUUAAUACAAGAUGGCAUCAUGAGUCCGCAUGUUCACAUGAUUAAAGGUAUUCCGGUAGACGAUGGGGAUGCGUUCCAUUAGAUAGUAGGCGGGGUAACGGCCCACCUAGUCUUCGAUGGAUAGGGGUCCUGAGAGGAAGGUCCCCCACAUUGGAACUGAGACACGGUCCAAACUCCUACGGGAGGCAGCAGUGAGGAAUAUUGGUCAAUGGGCGAGAGCCUGAACCAGCCAAGUAGCGUGAAGGAUGACUGCCCUAUGGGUUGUAAACUUCUUUUAUAAAGGAAUAAAGUCGGGUAUGGAUACCCGUUUGCAUGUACUUUAUGAAUAAGGAUCGGCUAACUCCGUGCCAGCAGCCGCGGUAAUACGGAGGAUCCGAGCGUUAUCCGGAUUUAUUGGGUUUAAAGGGAGCGUAGAUGGAUGUUUAAGUCAGUUGUGAAAGUUUGCGGCUCAACCGUAAAAUUGCAGUUGAUACUGGAUAUCUUGAGUGCAGUUGAGGCAGGCGGAAUUCGUGGUGUAGCGGUGAAAUGCUUAGAUAUCACGAAGAACUCCGAUUGCGAAGGCAGCCUGCUAAGCUGCAACUGACAUUGAGGCUCGAAAGUGUGGGUAUCAAACAGGAUUAGAUACCCUGGUAGUCCACACGGUAAACGAUGAAUACUCGCUGUUUGCGAUAUACAGCAAGCGGCCAAGCGAAAGCGUUAAGUAUUCCACCUGGGGAGUACGCCGGCAACGGUGAAACU
rnacentral:rRNA from 1 species